CCUACGGGUUGCAGCAGUGGGGAAUAUUGCGCAAUGGGCGCAAGCCUGAUGCAGCCAUGCCGCGUGUAUGAAGAAGGCCUUCGGGUUGUAAAGUACUUUCAGCGAGGAGGAAGGCAUUAAGGUUAAUAACCUUGGUGAUUGACGUUACUCGCAGAAGAAGCACCGGCUAACUCUGUGCCAGCAGCCGCGGUAAUACGGAGGGUGCAAGCGUUAAUCGGAAUUACUGGGCGUAAAGCGCACGCAGGCGGUCUGUCAAGUCGGAUGUGAAAUCCCCGGGCUCAACCUGGGAACUGCAUUCGAAACUGGCAGGCUAGAGUCUUGUAGAGGGGGGUAGAAUUCCAGGUGUAGCGGUGAAAUGCGUAGAGAUCUGGAGGAAUACCGGUGGCGAAGGCGGCCCCCUGGACAAAGACUGACGCUCAGGUGCGAAAGCGUGGGGAGCAAACAGGAUUAGAUACCCCGGUAGUC
rnacentral:rRNA from 1 species